UACGGAGGGGGCUAGCGUUGUUCGGAAUUACUGGGCGUAAAGCGCACGUAGGCGGAUCAGUCAGUCAGGGGUGAAAUCCCGGGGCUCAACCCCGGAACUGCCUUUGAUACUGCUGGUCUGGAGGUCGAGAGAGGUGAGUGGAAUUCCGAGUGUAGAGGUGAAAUUCGUAGAUAUUCGGAGGAACACCAGUGGCGAAGGCGGCUCACUGGCUCGAACCUGACGCUGAGGUGCGAAAGCGUGGGGAGCAAAC
rnacentral:rRNA from 1 species